rnacentral:rRNA from 1 species
UACGGAGGGAGCUAGCGUUGUUCGGAAUUACUGGGCGUAAAGCGCGCGUAGGCGGCUUUGUAAGUUAGAGGUGAAAGCCCGGGGCUCAACCCCGGAACUGCCUUUAAGACUGCAUCGCUUGAAUCCGGGAGAGGUGAGUGGAAUUCCGAGUGUAGAGGUGAAAUUCGUAGAUAUCGGGAAGAACACCCGUGGCGAAGGCGGCUCUCUGGGACGGUACUGACGCUGAGACGCGAAAGCGUGGGGAGCGAACAGGAU